CCAACAGGUUGAUAUUCCUGUACCACCUCCCCGCCGUUUGAGUAAUGGGGGGACGCAGUAGGAUAGGGUAAGCGCGCUGCUGGAUAUGCGCGUUCAAGCAGUUAGGCUGAUGAGUAGGCAAAUCCGCUCAUCAUGAAGGCUGAGCUGUGAUGACGAGGGAAUUAUAGUACCGAAGUUCCUGAUUCCACACUGCCAAGAAAAGCCUCUAGCGAGGCGGGAGGUGCCCGUACCGCAAACCGACACAGGUAGGCGAGGAGAGAAUCCUAAGGUGAUCGAGAGAACUCUCGUUAAGGAACUCGGCAAAAUGACCCCGUAACUUCGGGAGAAGGGGUGCCCCGGUAGUGUGAAUAGCACGAGGGGGCCGCAGUGAAAAGGCCCAAGCGACUGUUUAGCAAAAACACAGGUCUCUGCGAAGCCGCAAGGCGAAGUAUAGGGGCUGACGCCUGCCCGGUGCUGGAAGGUUAAGAGGAGGGGUUAUCCUUUGGGAGAAGCUCUGAAUCGAAGCCCCAGUAAACGGCGGCCGUAACUAUAACGGUCCUAAGGUAGCGAAAUUCCUUGUCGGGUAAGUUCCGACCUGCACGAAUGGCGUAACGACUUCCCCGCUGUCUCCAACGCAGACUCAGUGAAAUUGAAUUCCCCGUGAAGAUGCGGGGUUCCUGCGGUCAGACGGAAAGACCCCGUGCACCUUUACUGUAGCUUUGCGCUGGCCUUCGUGUCGGCAUGUGUAGGAUAGGUGGUAGGCUUUGAAGUUCGGGCGCCAGCCUGGAUGGAGCCACCCUUGAAAUACCACCCUUGACGACAUGGUGGUCUAACCGCGCGCCCUGAUCGGGCGCCGGGACCGCGCAUGGCAGGCAGUUUGACUGGGGCGGUCGCCUCCCAAAGCGUAACGGAGGCGUACGAAGGUGGGCUCAGAGCGGUCGGAAAUCGCUCGUUGCGUGCAAUGGCAUAAGCCCGCUUGACUGCGAGACGGACAGGUCGAGCAGAGACGAAAGUCGGUCAUAGUGAUCCGGUGGUCCCGCGUGGAAGGGC
rnacentral:rRNA from 1 species